AAAACGUUGAGCACACCGGAUCGAAUAUGUUUUGGGAUCUAAUCGGUGGAAUUUUCGAGUUCAUUUUCGGACUCUUGUUUCCCAGUUCCGGCAGUGGAGACGAACCAGAUUCUGAGGAGGUGGAAACCACUUGAUGGCCUAAAAUAAUAUAGCUUGUGUACCCUUUUAAAUUGCAAAAGUUCCAUGUUUUCGCUUUAUUAAAUCUACGUAAAUGAGGAUUAUAUACAGUGCGCACUCGAUACACGCAUUUCAACAAGGUGCUUAGUUCAAAACAGUUUGAACUGCUUUUUCAGUUCCAUUUUCUUCCAUUUGGGCAGCUCGUC